rnacentral:sRNA from 1 species
UGAACCGUUACUUUCACGCUGGUGAAAUA